GAUGAACGCUGGCGGCGUGCCUAACACAUGCAAGUCGUACGAGCUCGAUCUUCGGAACGGGUUAGUGGCGCACGGGUGAGUAACACGUAGGUGACCUACCCCAGAGUGGGGGAUAACUUCUCGAAAGAGAGGCUAAUACCGCAUACACUCGGUCAUUCAUUUGGCCGAGCAAAGCUCCGGCGCUUUUGGGGACGGGCCUGCGUCCGAUUAGCUAGUUGGUAGGGUAAUGGCUUACCAAGGCUUUGAUCGGUAGCUGGUCUGAGAGGACGAUCAGCCACACUGGCACUGACACACGGGCCAGACUCCUACGGGAGGCAGCAGUGAGGAUAUUGGGCAAUGGGCGAAAGCCUGACCCAGCAACGCCGCGUGAGGGAUGAAGGCCUUCGGGUUGUAAACCGUCUUUUUCCUAGGGUAGAAGAGACAAGGACGGUAU
rnacentral:rRNA from 1 species